GACCUCAACUCAAGCAAGAUUACCCGCUGAACUUAAGCAUAUCAAUAAGCGGAGGAAAAGAAACUAACAAGGAUUCCCUUAGUAACGGCGAGUGAAGUGGGAAAAGCUCAAAUUUUAAAUCUACCUGGUUUCCAGGUCGAAUUGUAAUUUGAAGAAGCGUUUUCGGUGUUUCGAUCUGGUUGAAGUUCUUUGGAACAAGACAUCAUGGAGGGUGAGAAUCCCGUGCAUGAUCAGAUCGAGAUACUCCAGAUACGCUCUCUAAGAGUCGAGUUGUUUGGGAAUGCAGCUCAAAAUGGGUGGUAGACUUCACCUAAGGCUAAAUAUCAGCGAGAGACCGAUAGCGAACAAGUACCGUGAGGGAAAGAUGAAAAGAACUUUGAAAAGAGAGUUAAAUAGUACGUGAAAUUGUUGAAAGGGAAACGAUUGAAGUCAGUCGUGCCGUUGAGAAAUCAACUUAGCGAGUUUCAGUUUUUGAAUCUUUGAUAGGGUCAAACCAUCACGGUUUUUAAAUUGGGACUUGUUGGGUGUACUUUCUUUUUGGCAGGUCAGCGUCGAUUUUGGGGGUUGUAAAAUGACUGGGGGAAUGUAGCUCCCUUCGGGGAGUGUUAUAGACCCUGGGGGAUGCAGCCCGCGGGAUCGAGGAUUGCAGCAAAUGCUUCAGCUUGUCGUCUAUCCGUUAAACGUUACCCUGCUUGUGACAAUAUUCUUGACACUUUGUGGGACUUGACGGUUAUAGGUUAGAACGUUCUAAAAUUUGCUAAGGAUGCUGACGUAAUGGCUUUAAACGACCCGUCUUGAAACACGGACCAAGGAGUCUAACAUAUGUGCGAGUGUUU
rnacentral:rRNA from 1 species